rnacentral:rRNA from 1 species
GACGAACGCUGGCGGCGUGCCUAAUACAUGCAAGUAGAACGCUGAAGGAGGAGCUUGCUUCUCUGGAUGAGUUGCGAACGGGUGAGUAACGCGUAGGUAACCUGCCUGGUAGCGGGGGAUAACUAUUGGAAACGAUAGCUAAUACCGCAUAAUAGUAGAUGUUGCAUGACAUUUGCUUAAAAGGUGCAAUUGCAUCACUACCAGAUGGACCUGCGUUGUAUUAGCUAGUUGGUGAGGUAACGGCUCACCAAGGCAACGAUACAUAGCCGACCUGAGAGGGUGAUCGGCCACACUGGGACUGAGACACGGCCCAGACUCCUACGGGAGGCAGCAGUAGGGAAUCUUCGGCAAUGGACGGAAGUCUGACCGAGCAACGCCGCGGGAGUGAAGAAGGUUUUCGGAUCGUAAAGCUCUGUUGUAAGAGAAGAACGAGGGUGAGAGUGGAAAGUUCACACUGUGACGGUAUCUUACCAGAAAGGGACGGCUAACUACGUG